CCUACGGGAGGCAGCAGUGGGGAAUAUUGCGCAAUGGGGGAAACCCUGACGCAGCAACGCCGCGUGAGUGAAGAAGGCCUUCGGGUUGUAAAGCUCUGUCAGGUGGGAAGAAACACAUCAGUCUCAAUAGGGCUGGUGUUUGACGGUACCACCAGAGGAAGCACCGGCUAACUCCGUGCCAGCAGCCGCGGUAAU
rnacentral:rRNA from 1 species